AUUGAACGCUGGCGGCAUGCUUUACACAUGCAAGUCGAACGGCAGCACGGGUGCUUGCACCUGGUGGCGAGUGGCGAACGGGUGAGUAAUGUAUCGGAACGUACCCGGCAAUGGGGGAUAACGUAGCGAAAGUUACGCUAAUACCGCAUAUGCCCUGAGGGGGAAAGUGGGGGAUCGCAAGACCUCACGUUGUCGGAGCGGCCGAUAUCAGAUUAGCUAGUUGGUGGGGUAAAGGCCUACCAAGGCGACGAUCUGUAGCUGGUCUGAGAGGACGACCAGCCACACUGGGACUGAGACACGGCCCAGACUCCUACGGGAGGCAGCAGUGGGGAAUUUUGGACAAUGGGGGCAACCCUGAUCCAGCCAUGCCGCGUGAGUGAAGAAGGCCUUCGGGCUGUAAAGCUCUUUCGGACAGAAAGAAAUCGCCACUUCUAAUAAAGGUGGUGGAUGACGGUACUGUAAGAAGAAGCACCGGCUAACUACGUGCCAGCCGCCGCCGUAA
rnacentral:rRNA from 1 species